GAAAACGUCUCGUAGUUAAUUUGGAGCGGUAUAUUGUGUUGUGGAGUACAAAAUCAUGACACAGAAAGUCCAAACUAGUGGAGAUCUCGUUCAUUUGGAACACAAAAGUGGCCACGGCGCGUAUUGCACGCAUGCAUCUUCUGGCUCAAAACAUCCGUAUAGUGUCCAAUGUUCCAUCAUACUGCUGGAUGGUGCAAUAGCUAGGUACACACAUACCUGAACAUCCAUGCACAUCAAUAAUUAGGAAAACAAUUACUAUUCAUUAAUUGCCUGAACAAGUAGGUCAGGCACAUCAGACGUACACAUCGGCUAGGACUGGAGUACAGCAAGGAGUUGACAGUUCACUCACGCAUACGGACGCGUGCAUACAUGUCGCAUAAAUAUAUAUGCACACACAGUGUGUGUGCAAGGUACAGACAUAGACACACUACUGAAAUAACACACACAGGCAACUUCAUUUUAUUUUUUAGUAGCUCAACAUCGUAUGAGCACUCCAUCAACGUAGAAAUUAAGCUCCACGCAAGCGCGUCCAUGCAUGCACGUAGGAAGGAUUAUAUAUUGAACUAGUUGACACUGCAUAAGAAUAAGACAUAUAUAUUAUGUCAGAGAAAAACACGGCAGAUGUAACAUGCUAAAAAAACACAAUCGACCGUAUUUCUUAAAAUAUGAACUUAAUAUCACUGUUUUGUUACUAUAUAUUUACUUCCUACUCCUAGCUCUUAAGAAAAUACUAUGCUUGUACGUGUUUGCUCAUGAGUUGUUCUAUUUUUCCUCCUUUUUGGGGAGUCAUAUUGUUUGUAUUGCCUGGUGUAAAAAACCGUUUGCUUUUUAUAACGUGGAAACAGACGGUUAUGGAGUAGCGCCACAUGGAAAUAUGCACAAGAUCUGGACUACACGGCUGCGCGAGAAGAUGAAAAUGCAUGCAUUUGGAUGAGUAGACCGAAAGAUUAGAACAUACUUGUUGCAGUUGGUGGACAUGCUGAUGGGGAAGGGCACGCUGACGCCGCACUUGCCGGGCACGCCGGAGACCUUGCCCAUGUUGAUGGACUUGAUGCUGGUGGCGAGGCUCUUGAGGCACCUGCACGCUAUCUUGCGGUCCGGGCUGCUGCGGGCCAGGCCGUUCAGCCCCUGCACGCCGGAGCAGCAC
rnacentral:lncRNA from 1 species